UAGCCAAAGAAAUGUGAGUUUUAAUUUGGAGGAGGAUGAUGAACAAUCUCCACAGACUGUAGAAGAUCCGUUUCCAAGUCAACAACCUAUCCCUAGGAUGCUAGGACAAAACAAGGCAAGAAAGAGAAGCAAAGGGCCAAGGAAAGGGAUGCCAAGGCCGUUGGGGGUGAAAUUGUUUCUGCCUUGCAAACUCUUGUAGAACAAACCACCAAGACAAAAGAGGAAGAGAUAUGAGUAAAUGGAUCAACAACGACAAGAAGAGAUAGAUGAGAGCAGCAUGGCUAGGAAUACCGAAGACAUGACUCCAAACUCUAAAGAGUUUUUUGAGGGGAAAAAAAGGGAAAUUUGAGAGCGAC
rnacentral:lncRNA from 1 species